rnacentral:siRNA from 1 species
AGGAACGCAAUGAACUGGAGAUAC